rnacentral:lncRNA from 1 species
AAAGAGAGGAAAGAUUUAAAAUAGCCAUAUUAGGUUAUCUAUAAUGGGGUCACCAUCCACCUCAGAAAAUGGGCAGUGCUCCUACUGAGGGCUAUCAAUGAAAGACCUGUGCUGUGCUGUGCUUUGCACUGUCUAUUUGAAAGUCUCAGAAGGUAUGGUUUACCUUAUCCCAGCCACUGUAAUUAAGUGAAUGCUUUUAGACUGUGAAAGGAUAGUUGCCAUUUGGCCUAAGAGCACUUAGGCAGAGCGCUUCAUUCCCGUGUGAUGCUGCAUACCGUUGUUUUUAUUUACAAUCCCAAAUGCUCUGUGCCUUGGUUUUUCACUCGCCAAAACCAACCUUACUCUACUAAAUGAAAUGCAAUCUUACCAGUUUAACCAGUAUGCUGUGAUAUUGUAGUGAGUCUCAGAGAUGACUGUGGAAACAGGAGGCCUGUCAUUUCAAUGAGCACCAUCACCUAAGCGGUAAUCAUUUCUCCUGUGUCUUAAACUGCUCUGACUCCUGAGCAAGUGUUCAUGUCUGUGUGUCAAAAUAAAAGUUUUUUCUAAAGGACUCUCUUUGCUUUCCUCCAUGGUUUUUACUGUACAUUUCCCUGUCGUCAUGAGUGGUGUGCAGAGACUCACCUUUUAUUAAAGUAGCUGUGUGAAGUAAGCUUUCGGUGUAUCCCUAAGUCUGUUAGCAUCUACUCCUUUGGUAUAUCUUGAGUACGGUGAAUCUUUAUUUACGUUUUACUUACCAACUCACAAAUACUGUAGCAAAUGGAUGUGAACAUUUACUUUCUGAAAAAGCCAGACAAUUUUUGUUUUCAAUUAUACUACUGAGCAAUCUAAGCAUGUAGAAUAUCUUCUAAUAACCAAAGCUGGUCCAUUCUGGUUUUGCUUUGCUUACUGUUGCUUCAAUGUUUUUAGAGCAGAUGUUUUUGGUUUUUUGGUUUUUUUGUUUUUUCUAAUAUAUGUGGCUUCAUUGUUUUAAUUGGUGUGGGUAUCUAACUUACAAAGCUUUUACAUUUUCUUUAACUGGGCCUCAUGUGGUCCCGAGUAGCUCUUGUAAACUUAGUCGGACAGUAAGUCAAUAAACUCUGCUUGUUUCCUCCUGAGCCUAUGUGUGCCCGGUAGCCACAUCUCGUACAUCUGCAUCAGGUUCAGUGGUUGGUCUUUCCCCCAGGUUACCGUAGUCCAGCGUCAUGAGUUGAAUGUGAUCCGUGGUGAUAUCUUCUACAGACAUUCAGGUUUUCUUUCCUUGUUACCUGCCUCUGUUCACUUGUUUAACUCUUCUUGUCUAUUCACCCCCAGGCUCUGCGCCACCCCAACUCUAUUCUGGGGACUAAUCCCGUGGCCCGCUUUAGGCUUGCUGGGAAGGUGCCUAGCACUGAGCUAACCCCUCAGCUCCUGGGUUUGGCUCCUUUGUUUCAGUGUUUGCUAAACCCUUUUCCACCCUUCUCACCAGUCCCUACCUUUUGUUUUCAAAGCCUUGCUCCAUACUUGUAGCUGUUUGUUUUUCUUCAGUGUUUUUCCAAGUCCCAAAAUUGUUAGUACUUUUAAUUAAAUUGUGUGGAUGCUAUAAAUAAAUUUGAUAAGUACCAACAUUUACUUAAAGUCACACAAUAGUGAAACAUUGGGACAAAAUUCAGCCCCUCAUCUUCAAAUCAGAAAUCCUCUUUGGUAGAUCCUUAUACGUUCACAGGUCCAGCUGUGGCUGGCGUCAGCUGCCCCUGAUUGUGGGAAGCAUUAGAUCCUGUCCUGAAGGAGUCUGGGUACCCACUUAGUGUCCUCUGGUCAAAAUGUUUCUAGCCUGUAUUCCUGGGUAAACAUUCAGAAUGACAUUGCCAAGCACAGGCUAAGUUACACCACUGGAGUACCUUUGCAAAUAGAAAUGUCCUAUCAAAGAUGACACCGGUGAUCAAAGAGUUGGGACUAGGAAUUUUAGCCAGGAAUUAAAUCUCACGCUCGGUGUGCUAAUUAAAUAACUGGGGGGCGGGGGGCUUGAGGGGGUGAGCAAGUCCUGUCUGUGGAAGCUGACUAGUAAAUAUGGCACUUAAUUCUGCCAAUGUUCAGGUCAAGCAAUUUAAGGCAGUUAGCAUAUUUUGAAAGUAGGGAACUGUUGUUUUGUUUUGAGACACAGUCUCACUUUAUAGCCCAGGGUUGGCCUGGAACUCAUUUUGUAGUCUAGUCGGUCUUCAAACUCAAGGCAGUCCUCCUGCCUUAACCUUCCAAGUGCUGGGAUUAUAGACCUAAACCGUAGUGUCCAGAUACUGCUCAGUUUUAAUAGAUACACUAUAGGGAGGAAUGCUCCAAAAAAGAUUCAUCUUGUAAUAACGUGAGCAUAGUUCAGGUCAGCCGGCCUGGUUGAUCUCAGCUCCUUCACUCAGGGCGAGGGCUAGCUCAGUUCCUCUGCCCUGGCUGUGAUAGUACUGGGUAGAGCAGCAGUCUUCAACCUGUGGGUCACAUGUCAGAUGUCUGCAUUAUGAUUCGUAACAGUAGCAACAUUGCAGUCUUGAAGUAGCAACAAAAUAACUCGUGGUGUCUGCAUGAGGAACUGUGUUAAGGGUCCCGGCGUUAGGAAGGUAUCUGUUGAGGAUUGUGCUUUCCUCUCGCCCUGAUGUUGUCUUUGCUUCCCUGGCUCCCCUUUCUCGCCUUUCCUCCUCUUAUGUCUGGCAGCAUUUUCUCACUGAAGGAACUGUCAACAUGAACCUCUCUCUCUCACUCACUCUCAUUCUCUCUCUCUCUCUCUCUCUCUCUCUCUCUCUCUCUGUCUCUCUGUCUCUCUCUCUGUCUCUGUCUUGCACACACACACACAAAAUGACAAACUCUUCCCCCCCCCCCAUCCAAAAAGAAAUCUACCUGUAUUUCAACAAUAGAUUAAUGCUGAAAUUUUGACUCAUACAAACUAAGGGUUUUUUCUUAAACUCGUAGAUUAUUAAUUUGAAUAACGUACAGAGAAUUUUAAGUUUGCUUAAGAUCUCUUUGGAUAAGAACACCUAUUAAAAAAUAUUUGAGGGGGCUGGUGAGAUGGCUCAGAGGGUUAGAGCACCCGACUGUUCUUCCGAAGGUCCAGAGUUCAAAUCCCAGCAACCACAUGGUGGCUCACAACCAUCCGUAACGAGAUCUGACUCCCUCUUCUGGAGUGUUUGAAGACAGCUACAAUGUACUUACAUAUAAUAAAUAAAUAAAUCUUUAAAAAAAAAUAUUUGAGGACUAGAGUUUUGUCACAAAGAUAAAACUCCAACCGCCUUCACAUUACUUCCUUCUGGACGUGGAAGCUGGGUAAACAGGAGAGUUACUUCCUUCUUGUAAAAUGUUUGUACUGGAGAUGUUGAAAGGCCAGCUCUGUGUUCUCAGGACUGUAAAUUAUCUAAGCAUUUUGAUGGAUCGGGCUGGCUUAAUUUCCUCCCUCUAGUUAAAAAGAAAUGCAGUUGUUUACAUCUUGCUUGUAGCUAAUCUUAAAAGAGAGCCCUGUUUCACUCAGGUCUUCAGGGCACGUGUGCUACAGAAUUUUUUGGAAAUGUGUGACUUGCGCAAAGCUUGGUGGUAGAGCACUUGCCUAGAAUGUGUGAAGAAGUCCUGUGUGUGUGUUUAAAAUGUACUUUUUAAUAAAACUUUUU